rnacentral:rRNA from 1 species
AUGGAAUGCUCGAGCAUCGAUAUAGUGACUCCGGUGCUUAAGCAACUGAAGCUUGGUGUACGGGCCAACAUGGAACAUAGCAUGUCCAUCUCAACGCCAAUGGUGGAGAAUAUUCGCUUCCAGCGCUAUUACACAGGGUUCUCUCUUGUAUUUGAUUGCUCGUUACCUGAAGGCAUAAGGCUGGAGACGUUACCCACUAACAACGGGAAAGACAUAUUGUCACAUCUACCUCCCCUUUAUGUCCUGAUUUUGCACAUGUCUGGUCAUAUAGGUGCACAGCUAGACUUUACACAAGAGAUGGAUAAACUUCUAUUUAUUAACUUCUCUGUGUUGGAGCUACAUCUCACCACAUCAAUGGAGCAUGUUUCGGGAGGACUCGUGUCACGCCUCCUUAAGAGGCAUCACGUUCAAACCGCUACAGAAAGGCUUAACGUCAACCUAUAUUAUUACUACGUGGAGAGAAAAGCAUGCAGAAAUUGUCCUUGUAACGAACCUAAGAACCGGAUAAUCCAAAGUGUCUCAAUGCCUCAUCUUAAAGAAGUGGAAAUAUGUGGCUUCAAAGGAGAGCAUUGCCAGCUUGAUUUGUUGACAUUAAUAUGCAGAUCUUAA